AUAUACAUAUACAUAUAUAUAUAUAUACAUAUACAUAUAUAUAUAUACAUAUAUAUAUAUAUAUAUAUAUAUACAUAUACAUAUAUAGUAUGGCUAUAUCAUGUGGUGAAAGAAAAACAAUUAGACAAACAUUGCAGUAUAAUAAUGUGCAUCACUUCAGAGAUGAAGUGAAUAAUUUAGAUCUACUGAAUACGGUUUCAAGAACUAGCCUUUACUAAUACUUUAUGCGCAUAUGGAGAACUGUAUUUUACUAAGGUGUUGUUAUACAGUUAACUUUUAUUAGUUGCACCUGUAGGCCUACUAUAUUAUGGUGUCAGAAAGGUUAUGGCUGUGUGUCAGUACUGACCCCAAUAUUAUUUUAUGGUUGUUGGGAAAGAUUUCAUAAAAUAAAUACAGUAUAGAUUUCUUAUGAAAAAAUGUAGUUCGCAAAUUAUUUAUCAUAAAAUAAAUAAAAAAUAAUAGGUCGAUUUAUAAGGCGCAAAUAAACAAGGUCUUUAAGUGCCAUGUCCAAGUAAAGAAAAGGUAAGGUGAGCGUAAAGAAAUAAACAAAAUGAUGCAGGAGAUGAUUAAAGAAACACAGAAAAAACAAGAACAGAAUAUACUAAAAUUAACCUACAAAGGAAAACCACACAGACUAGUGCAAGGGUGCAGUGAACCAAAAUCAUUGCAGUUUUCUUGCAAUUUCAGAUCACUGUUAAAAAUAGUGGUCAACAAGAUCAUUACUCACAGGCACUCUAAUGGUUUCGGCAUCUAACUAGCCUACCAAAAAAAAAAAAAAAGAGGUGAGAAAAACACCCAGUUCAUUGGAGAAAACAAAAGAUAAAGGCCAGUUUUAAGUUUCUUCUUAAAAAGUUGCCAACAAGGUAGACUCCCAUUGAGUAGGCUUUCAUAUCAUUCCACAGCUAGGGGGCUGCACUGGUGGUGGUAGGCUGCGUGAGCGCGCUGAACCACGAAGACCCAUUCAGAACUUUAGUACUGUACAUGUAUUACUGUAAAUCUAUUGCUGUUUCUGCGCAUCAUAUCCGGACAAGACACGUACACCUAUCUGUAAUAAGUGAGAGGAGCUAAUUUGCAAAAUAAGGUGAUUUUUAUCAUACUUGAGUGCGAUGUUUUUGCUUCAAAAAAUGUUGAAUGGGGUGCGAUCAAGUCUUUUCACCCUCCCCUAAAUACGCCACUGAAUGAGACGUUUAAGAUGUUGGUUCCAUGUAAAAAAUGGCCCAUACGCACGUUGAAUGGCUAGGUACACAUUCAUAAAACGACAGGAUUGUCCUUGUCAACGAAAGCCAAGAGUGAUGCACUGUCAGUCAUCAUUAUUGGUAUUAAAAAAAAACUGCAUUGCUCGAAUGAUCCACUAUUUCGAAAUGGGUUGAUAAUUUGUUUCUUGUUUUGUUUAGAGUGAGUAGUGGUUGACAAUAGACACUAACUUGAACUACAAAAAUAGCCAGGUGACCGAUUGACCCCGAUUUUUAAAAAGAUCACUGUGCAUGAUCAACAAAUUAAUUGUGCACAAUGAAGUACAGUGGCGGUGCUAGCGGGGGUCAAAGGACUCCCAUCGGGGACCUUUGGACUCCCGCUUAGACACCCUGUCGGAGAAUUUUCAGCAAGGUCAUCGGGGGAAAAAAUGAAACCUCAACCGCUGAAAAUACAAUCAUAUGCGGUGGUGGUGCCACAUCUUUCCCGACAGGGAGCUGGUACAGUACCUCCAACAGGCGGUUAGUAACCCCGACAGCGGGUGUCUUAACUUAGAUGGUUUUCUAUCAAAUUAUCCUUUUUUUAAAGAAUACCAUAAUCAACACAAUCCGACAGGGGAAGAAGGGGGUGCUAGGCUUCCACGACGUGACCAUUUGUCGGGUAGCUUGGAAAUCUUGUUGUGGAGCUUGGACCACUCGUCAGGGAAUUCCUGGCACCACCCCUGCUGAAGUAGAGCAAAAAAACUACUUGCUAGCAUUUAGGAUUUAUUUUGACAACACAAUAACUAUGGUGAAAUAUUUAAAUUACAGUACAUCUGUGGUUAAAAAAACUUAACCACAUUUGUUGUGUGCAUACGUUAUAUAAAUACUGUUACAUACACAAUAGCAUUUACACAUUGUUCAAAUGUGCUCAAAUUUCAGUGAAUAAAUUACGAUAAACCUUAUGCUUAACUAAGAAUGCAUAGCUUAGUGUAUUUAGUGAAUAAAAUACACUAAACCUUUAAUACAUAGUUAAGCAUUGGUUUUCAUUCCAAUUCAUUUUAAUAUUUUUAAGCAAGAGACCAAAUGAUCUAUGAAAUCUCUUGGUUAGUAAAUGCUUAGCUUCAAAAAUAAUUUGGGUCCCCUUUUGUUUUUACUAUGAAAUCACUCAUUCACAUAAACAUGGUCCAAUUUUGUUCAUUCAAUCUUAGCCAGAAGUACUAAUAAACAGUGAUAGGACUUGAAAGGAAACUUAUUAAUCAUGCCUGCUUUUGCCAUUAAAAAUAUACCAUCUGUGAUUAAAUUUUAAAAACUUGCAACUAAUUUCUCAUUAAAAAUUAUCACACAAGUUAUUUUAAAUUUUAAUGAAAAAUAUUGUAUUAUACUGUAGAAAUUACAUAUGUUCAAAUUUGUUCUACUUCUUAUUUUCAAUGCAAACUUUACUUCAUAUACCGUAUAAAACAACUUAAACAUUAAAUUUUGAUUUUCAAGUGAUCCUUUUUAGCUUAUCACAGAUGGUACACCUUUAAAAAUAAGUUCAUAUUUUAGGAGAAAAAAAAACACUGAAUGGUACAUUUGUGAAAAAUGGAUCUAUCCUCCUUGUUAUAUUGUAUGGUGAAUUAUUCUUUGAAGUUAACCCUUUUAAAAAUAUAAAUGUACAGUACUUUUUAAAAAAGCUCUUAAAAACAUAUGAAUGAAAGCCUUUCUUUAAAUUAAAGUUAAUCAUGAAAUAAAAAGGUAAGCAUGCAACAAAAUUGUAGCAUCUUAAUGUGUUAGUCAGAAGCCUGUUGCUGCCACCUAGCGUUUAACAGCAAGUUGAAAUUUACGAGGAACGUAAACCUUGUACCAUUGUCAACAUUUAUCAAAGAAAUUAUAGAUUUAAUCAACUGUUUAUUAGAUACUCCGAUUAUGGACAUUGUGUUUAUUGUACCUACAAUUUGAUAUUGGUUGCCCGCACACCACCCUAACUUGUUGUCACCCAGUCCCUUAUCACCCAUACAUACAGUCGUCACCCAUCCAAACCGUCGUCACACAUGCUUACACA
rnacentral:lncRNA from 1 species